GUUGCCUGAUCAAGUGUAGUAUCUGUUCUUAUCAGUUUAAUAAAAAUGUUGCCUGAUAGGGGAAGAGAACCUAAAAAUCAGAUGAAUGUUUGGCUCUUCUCACCUCUCUUUCCCUUUUGGCAAUGAGAUAAAAGGAACUGGUUUAGCUAUAGUUGCUAUACCCAUUAAAAAGAAGCCAUACUCUU